rnacentral:tRNA from 1 species
UGGCUCAGUGAGUAGGGCGCUGGCCCCAUAUGCCAGAGGUGGCGGGUUCAAAUCCAGC